rnacentral:lncRNA from 10 species
CCUGUACAGAAUGUUAUGACACUGUAUACUGGAGGCAACUCUAACACAAUGUACAUGAAUCACUCCUACUAAGAGAUCCUGAAAGAGGUCAUCAAAGCCACCAGAAACUAUUCCUGGACAGAGGAGGUUUUAUAGGUGUGGUUGGUCUCCUUACUGACGUGUCAACUACAAAUGCACAGGGUUCUGCCUGAAAUGUUUUAGUUGUUGCAGAUGUGUAGCUUCUAUAUGUAAAGUCUUCACUGCACGUGCUACAGAAACUUGAACUAUCUGAAGAGAGGAUGGAGUCAUCAGAUACUGGACAGAUCCAGUCAAAAUAUUUGGAUGCUUUCAGAAACAUCUGCCUAGCUGAGAUGUGGGGAAGGAACAUAAAGCAUUUUCUCUCCCAGUCCCUGCUGAAAGGGAACAAGAAGACUAAGCAAUAAGUGAGAAAAGAAAUGAUGGAAUAGAUGUGAGGCUUCCACAGCAAACUCCUGUAAAACCUGCAGUUAAACCUGAGCAAGAGGAAUGUGACAUAUGUGUCUUUGCUCUUUAUUUGGAUCUGUGUGUAUGCUCUUGGAGCAGUGGCGAAGAAGCUCCAGGGUAAUCUAAAAACCAAAAUAAAUGCCUUGAGAUCUUUUCUGGGAAUGAAAAAAUACAAAGACAAGCUAAGAAGCUGGAGCAGGAAAUUGACUUCAAACUCUGCUUGGAGAAUCACCAGCUGCAAAACUGUAUGGGGCAAAUUUCUCAUAAGAGUAUAGAGGAUGUGACACUGUACAGAGUUCACACUCAUGACUCAAUGAUGAAAUGGAAACCAGGAAGACCUGAUUAUGCAUGUCUGUGAAACUCACCCAUGCCAUCUGGAAAGGAAAAAGUUAAGUUGCAUUUCUGCAAUACAUUCUCUCCCUUCCCUGAGCUGCUCCUGGAAUAUAAAGAAAGCAAGGAAAUAUUUACUGGGCCUUCAGCUUUCUGUACUACUUCGGAACAGCACUAGCAUCUAUCUCAGGGUUUAAAAUAUGGAAGUUCUUGCCUUCCUUGAAUCUUUUCUCCCAGAAAUAACAUAUUGGCUCUCUUCCCUGUGACAUGCCUCAUCUGACAUUGGCUGGCUUUCAUAUAAAACCUUUGUUUUAGCCUACUAUCAAUUCAACUUUUACAUUGACAAAACGUAAUUUUUGGUUGUCAAUGUAAAAGUUGACAUUUUUACAUUCAACUUUAAUUUAAAUGCUGAAUUUAAAUUUAAAUGCUGAAAAUUUAUUUAAACACUUAAAAUGAUAUUAGAAGAGGUAUUUUAUGUUUUUAAACAGAGAUAUAUUUCAUUUUUAUAUGCAGUCAACAGAUCACAUGUGUAUGUCUCUUAUGUGUUCCUGUGUGGGAAUAGCUUGAAUUACUACAUAAGUUCUCUGAGAAUAUUAAGUUCAUUUAGGGGAACAGGACAUAUCUAUAUGAAAAACAGAAAUAAUACUACAAACAAAAGAGAGAUCACGAGAUAACAUGUAAUUAAUUCUCAGUGAAUGACAUGUCAUGAAAUCAUCAGAAGAGAUGAGGAUAUGGGAAAAGCUUUAUGAAAGUAGUCAGAACCAUAAGGAAGAUUCGGUUUUGUUAAACAGAAAGACCUUUUUCCAUUGUGGUAUUAAGUUUAAUAUGAUUUUCAUUGUAUUAAAAUACUAAUGCAGUAAGUUGAAAAUAUAAUUGCAUUCUUUUCAUUUAAUCUAUUGUAAAAUAUAUAAUCAAAAUGAUAUACUUGUAAAAUAAUUACAUAUAUAAUAAAAUCAAUAUACCUGUAAAAGAAUCA